GCCGGGCGUGGUGGCUCACGCCUGUAAUCCCAACAUUUUGGGAGGCCGAGGCGGGUGGAUCACCUGAGGUCAGGAGUUCGAGACCAGCCUGGCCAACAUGGUGAAACCCCGUCUCUA
rnacentral:SRP_RNA from 1 species